rnacentral:rRNA from 1 species
GUAGUCUCGCACAGAUGCAUAUCAAUAAGCGGAGGAAAAGAAACUAACAAGGAUUCCCUUAGUAACGGCGAGUGAAGCGGGAAGAGCUCAAAUUUGAAAUCUUCAAGGUUUUACCUUGACGAAUUGUAGUUUAAAGAAGUGUUUUCUGUUGAAGUUUUGGUAAAAGUUCUUUGGAAUAGGACAUCAUAGAGGGUGAGAAUCCCGUAUUUGACCAUUAUUUUCAGCUGUGUGAUACACUUUCAAAGAGUCGGAUUGUUUGGGAAUGCAGUCCAAAAUGGGUGGUAAAUUUCAUCUAAAGCUAAAUAUUGGCGAGAGACCGAUAGCGAACAAGUACCGUGAGGGAAAGAUGAAAAGAACCUUUGAAAAGAGAGUUAAACAGUACGUGAAAUUGUCAAAAGGGAAGCGUUUGACACCAGUGUUGUUUUCCUCGAAAAUCAAUUAAAAAGAGUUAGAUUUUGUUGUGUAUUGACCUUAACAGCUUGCAUUUCAAUUUUCUUGCUUUUUUUAAUGCACUUUUCGUUUAACAAGUCAACAUCAGUUUCUUUUGUUGUAAAAAGGUCAUUGGAAGGUGGCUUUCUUUUCGGAGAAAGUGUUUAUAGCCUUUGACUCCUGCAAUCGGAGAGACUGAGGUCUGCAGCGUAGAUCCUUCGGGGUUAGAUACAUUUGUGCUAAGUUAUAGCUUUUUAUAGACAACUUGUUGACUAUGAUUAGUCUUGUAGCUUACUCGCUUAUGCUAUUUUACCUACGCUUAGGAUGUUGAAGAUGUAGCACAUCAU